rnacentral:misc_RNA from 1 species
AACGCACAUUGCGCCCGCCAGUAUUCUGGCGGGCAUGCCUGUUCGAGCGUCAUUUCAACCCUCAAGCUUCUCUCUGCUUGGUGUUGGGGACCGGCCACUCCCCCCCCUCCCUCUCUCAGUUCUCCUGGGCAGAGGGGGGAGGAGGGGGGGGAGGCCGCCCCCGAAAUAGAUUGGCGGUCUCGUCGCAGCCUCCUUUGCGCAGUAACCAUAGCACCUCGCAACCAGGGAGCACGGCGCGGCCACUGCCGUAAAACGCCCAACCUUCUCCAAGAGUUGACCUCGAAUCAGGUAGGAAUACCCGCUGAACUUAA